UACGUAGGGGGCUAGCGUUGUCCGGAUUUAUUGGGCGUAAAGAGCGUGUAGGCGGCCAAGUAGGUCCGGUGUGAAAACUCGAGGCUUAACCUCGAGAUGUCAUCGGAAACCAUUUGGCUAGAGUCCGGAAGAGGAAAGUGGAAUUCCUGGUGUAGCGGUGAAAUGCGCAGAUAAUCAGGAAGAACACCAAUGGCGAAAGCAGCUUUCUGGG
rnacentral:rRNA from 1 species